CCUACGGGAUGCAGCAGUGAGGAAUAUUGGUCAAUGGACGAGAGUCUGAACCAGCCAAGUAGCGUGAAGGAUGACUGCCCUAUGGGUUGUAAACUUCUUUUAUAUGGGAAUAAAACGUUCCACGUGUGGGAUUUUGUAUGUACCAUAUGAAUAAGGAUCGGCUAACUCCGUGCCAGCAGCCGCGGUAAUACGGAGGAUCCGAGCGUUAUCCGGAUUUAUUGGGUUUAAAGGGAGCGUAGGUGGAUUGUUAAGUCAGUUGUGAAAGUUUGCGGCUCAACCGUACAAUUGCAGUUGAAACUGGCAGUCUUGAGUACAGUAGAGGUGGGCGGAAGUCGUGGUGUAGCGGUGAAAUGCUUAGAUAUCACGAAGAACUCCGAUUGCGAAGGCAGUUCACUGGACUGCAACUGACACUGAGGCUCGAAAGUGUGGGUAUCAAACAGGAUUAGAUACCCUUGUAGUC
rnacentral:rRNA from 1 species